rnacentral:lncRNA from 1 species
CUUGCCUGACAAACAUGAGUGAAAGACGGAAAGAUGACUAGGGCUGCUUGUUUGUGGGUUGCUUUGAGCUUCUUGUUCUGACGGUGUCGUGUUUCAGGAGCUGAUGCCCUGCCUUUCCAUAAGCGUUGACAAACACGUGGAGGAGAAUGGAGUCAGUGCAGAUGGACAAAAACGAGCAGGCCCCCCUCUGAACCUCACAGGAGACAGCGGCAUCGGUCUGCAGUACUCGGACACAUCCCUGGAGAGGCUGCUGAAUAUACAUGCCACUGAGGAAGAGGAGGAGAGCCUGUCCGCUCCAUCGGAGGAGGAAGACUACGGCACGGUUCUGGCAUCCUCUAUGCACUCUGUGACUGAGGACAGGUUGUGGGACUCAGUGAGCCCUGGUUUGAAGCAUCCAGUCAAAUCAGUGUGCGAGUUCAGCAGGAGGCCACUAGGUGGAGCUCUCUCCUCCUCAAAUGGAAAUGCUCAAGACCCCCUGGACUAUGCUCUGGGCUCCAUACAGGUAAUGUACACCUCAGUACACACAGCAGUGCUGUUUAACUCAGUCCGUUAUAUAAGCUCACAUAUACUCAUGCAAGCCAACAAAGUUCAAUUAACACAAAAACAUUUUUCAUUAUUCUAUGUGUGGAUUAUACUGUAUGUAGUUAUUGUCAGACAGAGUCAUUGUGGAUGUAAAUUACAACCCAUGCAAUAUGGGAAUUCUCAGUGACAGAGUGAUGU